UACAGAGGUGGCAAGCGUUGUUCGGAAUUACUGGGCGUAAAGGGCGCGUAGGCGGCCAUCUAAGUCAGACGUGAAAUCCCUCGGCUCAACCGGGGAACUGCGUCUGAUACUGGGUGGCUUGAAUCCGGGAGAGGGAUGCGGAAUUCCAGGUGUAGCGGUGAAAUGCGUAGAUAUCUGGAGGAACACCGGUGGCGAAGGCGGCAUCCUGGACCGGCAUUGACGCUGAUGCGCGAAAGCGUGGGGAGCGAUCCGG
rnacentral:rRNA from 1 species